CCUACGGGAGGCAGCAGUGGGGAAUCUUGCGCAAUGGGCGAAAGCCUGACGCAGCCAUGCCGCGUGAAUGAUGAAGGUCUUAGGAUUGUAAAAUUCUUUCAGCAGGGACGAUAAUGACGGUACCUGCAGAAGAAGCCCCGGCUAACUUCGUGCCAGCAGCCGCGGUAAUACGAAGGGGGCUAGCGUUGCUCGGAAUUACUGGGCGUAAAGGGAGCGUAGGCGGGUUAUCAAGUUGGAGGUGAAAGCCCAGGGCUCAACCUUGGAAUUGCCUUCAAAACUGAUAGCCUAGAGUAUGAUAGAGGUAUGUGGAACUCCGAGUGUAGAGGUGAAAUUCGUAGAUAUUCGGAAGAACACCAGUGGCGAAGGCGACAUACUGGGUCAUGACUGACGCUGAGGCUCGAAAGCGUGGGGAGCAAACAGGAUUAGAUACCCUGGUAGUCCACGCUGUAAACGAUGAUUGCUAGUUGUUGGCCAGCAUGCUGUCGGUGACGCAGCUACGCAUAAGACACACCGCCGUCGGGUAGGUACGGUCGCGAGAAGUUAAAACGUUAAAGUAAGUAGUAGACGNGAGAGAGCGACGACGACGACGACGGAGGAGGAGG
rnacentral:rRNA from 1 species